UUGGCUAUUUUUAGCAACACAUUAUCCACACGUUUUUUUGCCAAAUUAUGGCAGUUAUUAAUUUUGGUGAUUGAACCAGCUUAUGCUAAUGGUUGGUGUUUGGAUCUGAUUUGUUUAGCAGUGGUUCAAUGCUUGAUGAUUUUCACCUUCUUUGGGUUCAUUGUAAUUUGGUAACUUGAUUGAUCAUUGAGUUAUAAAUUUUUAUAUAAAUAUAUUUUGUAAAACUAAUGUGCCAUAAAUUUAUUAGUUAAACAAAAAUUUAAAAUAAUAAAAAUAAUCAUGUGCUUAAAAUGGAACCAAAAGAAAAGUAUUAAAACUAUUCACGAAUAACAAAGUAUAAGCAGCGAGGAGAAAAUAGAAAUAAGUUUGCUAAGAGAGAAAACUUUGACAAGCUUCUGUAAUCAAUUGAAAUUUGGAAUGAAUGCACUAUGAAGAAGCAACAAUCUUAACUAUUCGCAGUGCCGUGUAAUUAUGUACAAUAGCUUAAGACAGAGACUCGCAAGUUGUCUGUUAUUUUUUCCCCUGACAAACUUGAUCUGCAAGUCGUCUUUUUUUUUAAUGGUGCUGGUGGAACACCAUCUUGGACUAACAACUGAUCAUUAAAAGAUGCAUUCGGGAGGAGGAGCGUUGGCGUGGUUUCUCAGUUUGACACGUAUACCAUGUAUUUAUCAGACUUUAAAUGUGUGAGUUGACAAAAUUGAGACAAUAUCAGCUGCUUUUACUUUUUGACAAGUUGAAAAGACAGAGAGAAUGUUAACCGUUUUUACUUUUGACAAGUUGAAAAAAUAGAGAGAAGAUCAACUGUUUUUACAUUUGACAUUGAUUGUCCAUGCAUUGUGAAAAUCGUAUUUACUUACAAUAAUAUCCUUAUCUAAUUUCUCUCAAAUCACUUGUAAUUUAAUUUGAGGUAGGUUUUGAACCGGCAUUCAAGCGCCUUCUCUCUUACUGAAGAAAUUACUAUCUUUUAACUUGAGGUUUAAAAUCUGACAUCACGUCAGUGACAUGGAUUUGUUCUUGUUUUUGUUUCUGGUUUUUUUUUUUUUUUUUUUUUUAAUAUUUUGGUGCUUUUUGUAGUGGAAUUUUUGUUAUAUAAAUCAGAUAUGGAUGAAUAAAUUAUGUAAGUGCUUGUAGUGUUUGAAGUCAAUUUUAGGUAGAGUGGCAUGAACGUGGAGUGCAGGUGCAUGGAAAUUCGCAUACGGACCGCACCUUUCAUUUGAGUCAAUAGAACACUGCAAGAGAAGUUCAGAUAGAGCGUCUCUCUGUAAUUUGGCUUACCAAAACAUGAUACAUGUUCACGAAUAAUUUCCGCAUUGGGCCAAAACCAAAGUAAGUGUGUACGUCUCAGUCUGGGAAGGUAGCGAUCUGGAACGGUCGUCCCCGUGCUUAAAUUUAUGAAGUAGAUUCAGGUGGCCUUAAUAAAACCUUAGUUAAUUAUUUGAUUCAAGAAGACAAAGCAUGUUUUGAGUCAAAAUAUGGUUGUCCGUUGGAACUAUAGCAUUUUAAUAUUACUUUUCAAUAGAUUAUUAUUAUUAUUAUUGGAUGGCAUUUCUUCAAUGCCGUCGUCAUUGACGUUGACCGAUGUCCCCGCGUGGUUAUCACUUUCUAUUGGGUAUUGAAGACCACGAUCCUGUACGUUUCAAUUGUUUGAUUCCUCAUCCACCGUGUUCAUAUCAGAGGUAAUUGCAAGUUGGGAAGGUAGUACUCAGGUGAAUAUAUAUAGUAUUUCUCAAGUGAGAACACUCAUUUUAUUAAAGUGAAAAUAUUAUUAAUAUAUAUAUAUAUAUAUAUUAUAAAUUAUAUUUUUUGUUUGUUAGUAUAUUAAACUUUUUUUUUUUUUUUUUACUAACAUCUUCACUUUACCUCAUUAGAAAAUGAUUACACACACACACAUAUAUAUAUACACAUGUAUAUGUAUGCAUACAUAUAUUUUAAGGGUAAAUAGUUACUGAUCAUUUAAAGUUUCACAUUGUAUUAACUUUAGAUUAAUAAGUGUAUGUGUGCGCACGCACGUACUUUUGGUAAAAUGCAAAACUUUCAAUGAAUGGUGGAUAUUCCAAGUUACACAAAGAUUACACAUAUCUUGACCAGCCACAACUACAUUUGUUCAAUAUUGUUAAUAAUAGUGUAAGCAAUAGGUAUCGUAUGUCAUUUCAUUUUUCAGUCAUCUUGAUAUGUUUGGCUUUCAAUGAAAUCUAUUAGGGAUUACAAACAACAACAGUCCAAUAUACUUUAUUUCCCACAUUUUUUUGUUGAGCUUGGUAGUUUGCAUUAAAAUAUAUCUAAUAAUGAUACGAUUUCAUUUGUUGAAACGAUUUCACGUGUUGUAACUCAUAUUUAUGUUAAUUU
rnacentral:lncRNA from 1 species